CACAGGUACAGGAACACUCUACAUCCUGACUGUAUUACCGACUUUUUUAUGGCAAGACGACAAAUACAAGAGGCAUUCACAUUCUCAGAUAAAUUGCACAAGAUUUUUUAUAUAACGAUGGUGUUUGUUGCCGUGAAAGACGAGAGUGCACACAAAAAAAGUUAGCUCUUCUGCUAAGUUAUGCAUCAACGGUGAUGACAACGGUGUUGAAGAUACCAUUACACUGCCGAGGAUGCAUCAAGAAGAUUCAAGAUCUGGACAGGAAGACCGAGGGGUUUGUGGAGAUAUCGAUGAAUACGAGCAAUGAUUUGGUGAGGGUAAAAGGAGCAAUGGACAUGAAGUUAUUGACGAUAACUUUAAGGACAAAAUGAAUAGAGUGGUGGAAAGAAGGGGAAGGGUUACGGGGAGUGGGAAUGGAAGGAAAGUGGUGUUGGUGGGCCGACAAUGGCUGGGUAUAGCCAUAGGAUGGAGUAUUUUGCUGGUCAAGGUUAAUACAAGUAUUCACAAUAUUAUUAUUAUUUUCGGUUCAUGGGUCAGAAGGCCAUCAGUGCAUUGGAAUGCAUACUGCUGUCGCAUAUCAAUAUGGUUAUUUUACUUGAAGAAGUUGUUACGAGUCAGAGCAGAAUAUCUCAACGUAAUGCAAAUGUCGAAAGUUUUAGGCGAGCAGCUAAACAGUGGGCACCCAGUAUGGCCCGUUGCGAUUCACGAUUCACGGUCAUUAUACGGAUGCUGGUGACUCAGCGGGCCGGUUAUCCGGUGCUUUAAACAUACCAAUGCUUUUCACGGGUCAUUCGCUUGGUCGAGAUAAGUUGGAACAACUUUUGAGACAAGGAAGAUUAACGAAAGAUGAAAUUAACACUACGUACAAAAUCAUGCGGAGGAUAGAGGCGGAAGAAUCGAGUAUUGAUUCAUCUGAGGUGGUUAUUACUAGCACCCGGCAGGAGAUUGAUGAGCAGUAGCGGUUGUAUGACGGGUUUGACCCGGUUCUGGAAAGGAAAAUUCGGGCUAGGAUUAGGCGUAAUGUCAGCUAUUAUGGCAGGUUCAUGCCUCAUAUGGUUGUAAGUACCAAAAUGUUCUUAUGUUCUGUUUCUCCUCUUCAAGUCUUAAAUGGGUCAAAAUGGGUUGACUUUUGUAUGGGUCAAAAUGGGCUGGGUUGGGUUGACGCAAACCCAUUUUAUCCAUUUUUUAUAACAAGUAAUUAGUGCAUCAAACACGAUUGAAAAAAAAUAUAUUAGUUCAGCAAUAAUCUAUUUUUAAAAUUGUUUUUGAAGGUUUUAUGCAUUAAAAAUAGACUUUGGACGACCUUUUAGGGGUGUAAAUUUUUACACGACCCGUAAACACGACACGAUUAUGUGCUAAUCCUUUCUUUUGAUUAUGUUAUUAGAAAACAUGUGCUAAUUCUUUUUUUGAAUUGUUAAAUAACAUUUUUUUGUAUGUUUUGGUGACUGUGUAACCACAUGAAAGGUAAGUUUGUGGUAGUUUAGUUGUUUCAUUCAGUUAAGAACGAGUGCGAAAUGAGCUGACUGAUGUUUUGGGUAGGUUUGUAUUGUAUUGCAGAGAAGGAUCACGAGUUGGGGUUCGCGCAUAGUGAAAUUAAAGUUCAAUGGUUCAAACGAGACAUUCAGUGAAUGAGUAUGGUUGCGUCUAGGGUGAACUGCCGGCUGAAGCGACAUAGGGAACAGCCAGGGGUAUUUUUUGUAUUUAAAACCUGGAUUUCUAGACAACAAGAUGAUUUAUACAAAUUGAAUUACUGAUACAUGUUUUUAACGUUUUCUGUAUGACAAUGAGGAGACAUGGAGGAGUACUGGUACAAUGGAUUAGCCCUGCAAGUUGUUCAGUCUUUUUGUCCGAUUAGUUUGAUCCUCCUAAAGUUCUUUGUGGUAAACCCUAAUAUAUGUGUACUUUAGUUUUUUGGUAUUACCAGUUUGGAGUGCCGGGCAAACGGUUGUGAUUGGAGCCUUAACAUCUGCAGCCGCAUUUGGAAUGGCUAAGGCUGUGCAGGGGUAGUAAAUGGUUACUUUGUUAUUGGUUCUGGUUUUUUUUUCACUUUUAAAGUCACACAUGUUUUUUACUUUUGAUAUUGUAAUUGAGCUCUAUGGUAGAUUACAAUUAAAUUGAUUGAAUGGUUACACAAGUAUGAAAAGUUUCACAUGCUAAUAACCUCAAUACUUAGUCUGAUGCAUUAUUUUUGUUGUUUAGGCAAAAAUGGUGUUUGAUGAGGUGGGACCAGGAGUGUUCGGCAUCACAAGAAACAAUGAGUCCAUUAACUGGAAGGCAGCUAUAACUCUUACGACUUUCUUACAGUUUUUAGUCAACGUGAUUAUGCGAACAGUUUUGGUUCUUAUGUUCGUGCAAAAAGAGACUCUUUAGUACAAGACAGGCCGGUUUGGUCUGGGCCUCAAAAUAAUCUGCACGGUAAGCCAAAAUACACACACAUUUAUGUCAUGAUAUUUUGUCUGACCAUUUAUUUAUCUAAAUGCAAUUACCCGAGCGUACCUAUGCCUACCCGAGCGCAUAUUGAUUUGGGAGGUACUAAUGUUUGUGAGUACUGUAAAGAUUCUAUUUUUUUGUAUGAAGAGCGGCUGAAAUUGUCCCCUUAAAAGAGUAGACUGAAAUACAAUACGUGUUGUGGCGGAGGCGCUGUAUGAAUUGACUUUCCAAAGGACCUGCCAAUGUCGAUAAAAGAUCUAUAUUCUAUGCUACAUUUUAUGGCAAACAUACGCGCUGCGGAACCAUACCAGGGUCGUAACGAACUAACUGAUACCGGCCAAACAACACCGGUACAGACUGUAAGUUUUGAGUAGGCUGUGUGUUUUGUUUUCUAUUCUAUUGUUCUUUUUUUUGUUUAGGGUUGUAUGGUACCUUGGGGUUUUGUUUUGUUGUAGUCUUUCUGCAACUUACUAACGUUGCUGUUGUAAUUGAUAAAUAUAGCAUAUUUCCAUAUUCAUUAUCCCUAAACAUAGUUGUAAGUUUUUUAUGGUCUACAUUC